AGAGCAGCACUUCAGGGGAAUCCUACGAGCCCGCCGCGUGGGUAAGAAGGCCUUGGGUUGUAAGCCCUGUAGGUGGGAAGAACCGCAGUCUGGCCAAUCCUGGACUGCUUGACGGUACCACCAAAGGAAGCACCGGCUAACUCCGUGCCAGCAGCCGCGGGAAAUAAAA
rnacentral:rRNA from 1 species